GCCGAGCCAUUUGACGUGGGCUUGUAACCCAAGUGGGGGCUAUGAAGCGGUGGGACGUUGUUCUAAUCCAGAUGGCUGGAUUCGGCUGGAGUUUCUUGGGUCCUAGAGUGGAGGGUACCGCGUGAGGCUGCAGUGGAAGGAUAACGAGUCGGUGUCACCCGAUUUCACAGAGCCACAUUGGACUGUUCUAAUUGGACCAUCCCUUUU
rnacentral:SRP_RNA from 1 species